AGACAGAGAUUACAAGUAGUCAGAGAAGCAGGUAGAGAGAGAGGAGGAAGCAGGUUCCCUGCUAAGCAGAGAGCCCAAUGUGGGGCUCGAUCCCAGGAUCCUGAGACCAUGGCAGAAGCUUUAACCCACUGAGCCACCCAGGUGCCCACCGAUACCAGCUCUUAUAUGGUAGCUUCUUUUUUUCUUUUAUUAAUUAUAGACAAUUGCAUCAUAGAGAAGCAAAAAUGAUGUUGUCAAUUUCUGCAUUAUCCUUUUUGACUGCCUCGGUCAGGCGUCGACAAGGUUUACAUUUGUUUUGGCCGGCAGGAGAGGCCUAGAGCCUGGGUGGAGGCAGGGAAAUUUGCAGCAUCCAAGUCUCUUUCCAGAAUGAGGGUGGCUCGCGUCGCUAGUUCUAUUCUUGGACAUAAGAGCUGGAAAUUUGGGUGUGCACUGCCUUGUCAAGCCAGAAGCCGCAUGUACUGGAACGGGGUAUAACAACAACUUUGACCGUGCUCUGACUUACGACUGAAGAGAUGUUGGGCCUCUUUCCAGAUUUUAGGCCUGGAAAAUCUUCGCACUGCAAAGCCAAGCCAGAGUGUGAUGAUCGUUCUUUCUCACUGGCAGAACAGUCGUAUACUGAAUACGCGUCUUCAAACCACACGGUGAUAAUGCUUGAAAUUUAUAGGACUGGAAGUCUGAAGGUAGCCACUGACCCCUCUGCUUGAAGUCACUUUAGUGAAAGUGAAAGUAAGAGUAACUAAACGUCAAAAGUAACCAGCAACUUAGGGACUCACAUAACUGGAAGGGAAAUUCCCCCCUCUCCUUGUGUUUUGCUUUUUCAACCCAGGAACCAUAUACCCGUCACAUACUUUGUCUUGACAUUUCCGAUUGUCUUUUCUAAAUAACAUAAACAAAAAAGUUGAUUUGUCUCUUCCAUGUGGGGAUAUUGUGGAGGCAUUUCUGAGCAAUUGAUAUUGUAGUUAUUUGCUGGCAUUCGUGUUAGGAGCUAAACCUUAGGUGUAUGGGUGAAAAGUGAAAACUUCUAGCUUGGAUAACUUCACUCUCUGAGAAGGGUGUUCUGCGUCUAUUUCUCAGGGGUAAUAAACAUUAUGCCAGAAUAUCAGGUAACAUGCUGAUGAACUAGAAUAGAAGAAGCACAUAACUAGCAGCACAAUCAUCCAGUUGGUUCAGCCGUGAGAUUUAUUCACAGACGGGAGCAUUCUUGGGGAUAUUCUUAUUUUGGCACUUAAAAAAAAAAAAAAAAAGAGCUGUCCACUCUGUGGUACCUUGAUAUGUAUGGCAGCCUGCGCUGGUUACUUUUACGUGUCCACUUUGGCUGGACCACAAUGCCCUUGUAUUUGGUCAAACGUUAUCUCGAACAUUUCUGGGAAGGUGUUUUGGGGAUGAAUUAGCGUUUGAAUCCUCGGACUUUGAGUAACCUCCUAGUGUGGGUGGGCCUGGUCCAGCGAAGCCCUGCAGAGAACAAAGACUGACCUCCCCUGUGGGAGAAGGAGUUCUGCCAGUAGACUGUCUUUCGGUUGUAAUUCUUCCCCAGGUUUCCAGCCUGCUUAUCAACUCUGCAGAUUUCGAACUUGCGCCUCCACAGUCAUAUAAGCCAAUUCCUGAAAAUUGAUAUAUAAUCAAUCAGAGAGACACACACAUGUCUGUUGUUUCUGUUUCUCUGUGGAGAACCCUAAUAUACUGUCCUAACAAGCUAAUACUGUAUGUUUAUUAUAACUCAAGAAAGCUGUUUAAAAAAAAAUCAG
ensembl:lincRNA